UAAUCCAAUUAACAACCCACUAUCCUUUUUAUAACCCUUUUGAAAACGUCUGACAGAUAAGAAAACACCAACACCUAAUCACGUGAUGGUAUCUUCUAUGAUAAACCUUCUGGCGGAUCCUGUUCUCCGUUCACUGACCACUUUUAGACGUCCCUUUAUUCAACCGACAACAGAUGCAACAACAGCCUCCACGCUCAAUCUGUCUCCUUCUCUGUCUUCAGUUAAAAACGACGCAAGUUCCGAUUCCGGCCGGCGUCUAGCUUGGUUCAAGAUCGGUUUGCGCAGGACAAUCAGCAGUUCAGAGAACUGCUUCCAACCUACUUUCGAUCGGACGACAGGACAAUCAACAGUUUCUAGAACCGUUUCCAACCUGCCGAUCCUUGAACUCAAACUUCCGGCGAAAUCACCUUCAACCCUAUGCUCGAUCGUAGGUGAGUUAGUUCCCAGAGUGACGUUGCCCCGUGGUUUUAAACAAAAAUACAAAGUGGCCCUCAACCGAAUCCAUGUGACUACGCCAGUGCGGACCAGAAAGGAAAUUGCCAGCGUGAACCAGAAACGGCCGGGUAAAUGAGAUCUUGCCGGCGACGAACCAGUAACGAUCGAAGUGUACGAACCCAGGUUGGAUUAUGAACUGGGAUUUCAUUAUUUUUGUGUCAAUCGGAAUCCACGACCACCGGUGUUGAUUUUGUUUUGGGGUUUCUACUGAGGAGAGAGAAAGAAAAGGUAGGAUGAAGGAGAGGAGAGAGAAAAGGGUGGUGUCAUUGGUUGACGGUGGCGGCGUGGCGUGAUGGUUGCUCCGACGAUCAGUGGGUUGAGAGAGAGAGAGGGAGACCCUGUGGUGGUGCCAGUGGAGUAAAUAUAAAAUGAAAGGAGCCAUUAAUGAAGGUUAUUUGCUUUUCUCAGUGGUAUUGCUUUUCUCAUCGUCUAUUCUACUCAACAUAAAUCAUUUGAUUUUUACCUUUUCUGUUCUUGAUGUAAGCAAAAUUUAAUCGUUUACUUGAAUAUUUGAACAAUAGAGUUAUUUUGUAUUUAUUAUUUUAGUGAUAUGGUUAAAUGUAAA